UACGGGGGGAGCAAGCGUUGUUCGGAUUUACUGGGCGUAAAGGGCGCGUAGGCGGCCUCUGCAAGUCGACUGUGAAAUCUCCGGGCUUAACCCGGAAAGGUCAGCCGAUACUGCAGGGCUAGAGUGCAGAAGGGGCAACUGGAAUUCUCGGUGUAGCGGUGAAAUGACGUAGAUAUCGAGAGGAACACCUGCGGCGAAGGCGGGUUGCUGGGCUGACACUGACGCUGAGGCGCGAAAGCUAGGGGAGCGAACGGG
rnacentral:rRNA from 1 species